UUAUCCCCGCGGUGAAAAUUCUAGCAUAUCAAUAAGCGGAGGAAAAGAAACCACAGGGAUUGCCCUAGUAACGGCGAGUGAAGCGGCAACAGCUCAAAUUUGAAAUCUGGCUCUUUUAGAGUCCGAGUUGUAAUUUGCAGAGGGCGCUUUGGCUUUGGCAGCGGUCCAAGUUCCUUGGAACAGGACGUCACAGAGGGUGAGAAUCCCGUACGUGGUCGCUGGCUAUUGCCGUGUAAAGCCCCUUCGACGAGUCGAGUUGUUUGGGAAUGCAGCUCUAAAUGGGAGGUACAUUUCUUCUAAAGCUAAAUAUUGGCCAGAGACCGAUAGCGCACAAGUAGAGUGAUCGAAAGAUGAAAAGCACUUUGGAAAGAGAGUCAAACAGCACGUGAAAUUGUUGAAAGGGAAGCGCUUGCAGCCAGACUUGCUUGCAGUUGCUCAUCCGGGCUUUUGCCCGGUGCACUCUUCUGCAGGCAGGCCAGCAUCAGUUUGGGCGGUAGGAUAAAGGUCUCUGUCACGUACCUCUCUUCGGGGAGGCCUUAUAGGGGAGACGACAUACUACCAGCCUGGACUGAGGUCCGCGCAUCUGCUAGGAUGCUGGCGUAAUGGCUGUAAGCGGCCCGUCUUGAAACACGGACCAAGGAGUCUAACAUCUAUGCGAGUGUUUGGGUGUCAAGCCCGAGCGCGUAAUGAAAGUGAACGGAGGUGGGAACCCGCAAGGGUGCACCAUCGACCGAUCCUGAUGUCUUCGGAAGGAUUUGAGUAAGAGCAUGGCUGUUGGGACCCGAAAGAUGGUGAACUAUGCUUGAAUAGGGUGAAGCCAGAGGAAACUCUGGUGGAGGCUCGCAGCGGUUCUGACGUGCAAAUCGAUCGUCAAAUUUGGGCAUAGGGGCGAAAGACUAAUCGAACUAUCUAGUAGCUGGGUUCCUGCCGAAGUUUCCCUCAGGAUAGCAGUAACGUAUUCAGUUUUAUGAGGUAAAGCGAAUGAUUAGAGGCCUGGGGGUUGAAACAACCUUCACCUAUUCUCAAACUUUAAAUAUGUAAGAAGUCCUUGUUACUUAAUGAACGGGACAGUGAAUAAACGUUAUAGUGGGCAUUUUGUAGCCACAAAACCUGGCGGA
rnacentral:rRNA from 1 species